rnacentral:rRNA from 1 species
AGUGAACGCUGGCGGUAGGCCUAACACAUGCAAGUCGAACGGCAGCACAGUAAGAGCUUGCUCUUACGGGUGGCGAGUGGCGGACGGGUGAGGAAUACAUCGGAAUCUACUUUUUCGUGGGGGAUAACGUAGGGAAACUUACGCUAAUACCGCAUACGACCUACGGGUGAAAGCAGGGGAUCUUCGGACCUUGCGCGAUUGAAUGAGCCGAUGUCGGAUUAGCUAGUUGGCGGGGUAAAGGCCCACCAAGGCGACGAUCCGUAGCUGGUCUGAGAGGAUGAUCAGCCACACUGGAACUGAGACACGGUCCAGACUCCUACGGGAGGCAGCAGUGGGGAAUAUUGGACAAAGGGCGCAAGCCUGAUCCAGCCAUACCGCGUGGGUGAAGAAGGCCUUCGGGUUGUAAAGCCCUUUUGCUGGGAAAGAAAAGCAGCAGGUUAAUACCCCGCUGUUCUGACGGUACCCAAAGAAUAAGCACCGGCUAACUUCGUG